rnacentral:rRNA from 1 species
AGUGAACGCUGGCGGUAGGCCUAACACAUGCAAGUCGAACGGCAGCACAGUAAGAGCUUGCUCUUACGGGUGGCGAGUGGCGGACGGGUGAGGAAUACAUCGGAAUCUACUUUUUCGUGGGGGAUAACGAAGGGAAACUUACGCUAAUACCUCAUACGACCUACGGGUGAAAGCAGGGGAUCUUCGGACCUUGCGCGAUUGAAUGAGCCGAUGUCGGAUUAGCUAGUUGGCGGGGUAAAGGCCCACCAAGGCGACGAUCCGUAGCUGGUCUGAGAGGAUGAUCAGCCACACUGGAACUGAGACACGGUCCAGACUCCUACGGGAGGCAGAAGUGGGGAAUAUUGGACAAUGGGAGCAAGCCUGAUCCAGCCAUACCGCGUGGGUGAAGAAGGCCUUCGGGUUGUAAAGCCCUUUUGUUGGGAAAGAAAAGCAGCAGGUUAAUACCCCGCUGUUCUGACGGUACCCAAAGAAUAAGCACCGGCUAACUUCGUG